rnacentral:rRNA from 1 species
CGAACGGUACGAACGCUGGCGGCGUGCCUAACACAUGCAAGUCGAACGAGAAUCAAUGGAAUGCGGCUUCGGCAAGUGAAGUUGAGGACAGUGGCGGACGGGUGAGUAACACGUGAGCAACCUGCCUUUCAGAGGGGGACAACAGUUGGAAACGACUGCUAAUACCGCAUAACGCACAGAGAUGGCAUCAUCAUUGUGCCAAAGAUUUAUCGCUGAAAGAUGGCCUCGCGUCUGAUUAGAUAGUUGGUGGGGUAACGGCCUACCAAGUCGACGAUCAGUAGCCGGACUGAGAGGUUGAACGGCCACAUUGGGACUGAGACACGGCCCAGACUCCUACGGGAGGCAGCAGUGGGGGAUAUUGCACAAUGGGCGAAAGCCUGAUGCAGCGACGCCGCGUGAGGGAAGACGGUUUUCGGAUUGUAAACCUCUGUCUUCGGGGACGAAAAUGACGGUACCCGAGGAGGAAGCCACGGCUAACUACGUG